GCGGAGGUUUUAACGUUGCUCUUAGCUUAGUAAUGCUCAAAAUUCAGAGAAAAAACGCAGAACAUAAUCGCGGGAAGCCAACCUUGUGGCGCUUAGGUCUGGUUUCACGAUCGAGCUUCGGCCUUUGACCUUUGGAAGCCAUGGUGCUGUGUCGUCGUCAGAUCCAGAAGCUGGGGAAUCUGGACCGUCCGAUCAACGCCACCGUGGGGGUUCUUCUACGAUUGCUCUCUCUGUGACUCUUUGUCUCUUUAUCUGGAGAAGCAUGUUGGUUUCUCUCUCCGUCUUUCUCCGUUGCGUUUUCGGCUCGGGUCUUAUUACGUGGCUGGAUUCCG
rnacentral:lncRNA from 1 species